AUGAGUCUGGGCACCGAGUUGGAUUUCCGGAAUAUAGAUUUGAUAAACACUUGUCCAAUCCGAAAGUCGCUUCACAUUUGGAAAAUUAAGACACCUUUAAAGAUAAAAGUCCUUAUGUAUUUUGUUCACAAGAAAGUAAUCUUGAUUAAGGACAACUUAGCAAAGUGUAGUCGGGAGGGUAGUAAACGGUGUAGUUUCUGUUUUCAAGAUGAAUCCAUGCAACACCUUUUUUUCUCAAAUGCGCACUAG
rnacentral:rRNA from 1 species